rnacentral:rRNA from 1 species
GUUAAGCGACUAAGCGUACACGGUGGAUGCCCUGGCAGUCAGAGGCGAUGAAGGACGUGCUAAUCUGCGAUAAGCGUCGGUAAGGUGAUAUGAACCGUUAUAACCGGCGAUUUCCGAAUGGGGAAACCCAGUGUGAUUCGUCACACUAUCAUUAACUGAAUCCAUAGGUUAAUGAGGCGAACCGGGGGAACUGAAACAUCUAAGUACCCCGAGGAAAAGAAAUCAACCGAGAUUCCCCCAGUAGCGGCGAGCGAACGGGGAGCAGCCCAGAGCCUGAAUCAGUGUGUGUGUUAGUGGAAGCGUCUGGAAAGGCGCGCGAUACAGGGUGACAGCCCCGUACACAAAAAUGCACAUGCUGUGAGCUCGAUGAGUAGGGCGGGACACGUGGUAUCCUGUCUGAAUAUGGGGGGACCAUCCUCCAAGGCUAAAUACUCCUGACUGACCGAUAGUGAACCAGUACCGUGAGGGAAAGGCGAAAAGAACCCCGGCGAGGGGAGUGAAAAAGAACCUGAAACCGUGUACGUACAAGCAGUGGGAGCACGCUUAGGCGUGUGACUGCGUACCUUUUGUAUAAUGGGUCAGCGACUUAUAUUCUGUAGCAAGGUUAACCGAAUAGGGGAGCCGAAGGGAAACCGAGUCUUAACUGGGCGUUAAGUUGCAGGGUAUAGACCCGAAACCCGGUGAUCUAGCCAUGGGCAGGUUGAAGGUUGGGUAACACUAACUGGAGGACCGAACCGACUAAUGUUGAAAAAUUAGCGGAUGACUUGUGGCUGGGGGUGAAAGGCCAAUCAAACCGGGAGAUAGCUGGUUCUCCCCGAAAGCUAUUUAGGUAGCGCCUCGUGAAUUCAUCUCCGGGGGUAGAGCACUGUUUCGGCAAGGGGGUCAUCCCGACUUACCAACCCGAUGCAAACUGCGAAUACCGGAGAAUGUUAUCACGGGAGACACACGGCGGGUGCUAACGUCCGUCGUGAAGAGGGAAACAACCCAGACCGCCAGCUAAGGUCCCAAAGUCAUGGUUAAGUGGGAAACGAUGUGGGAAGGCCCAGACAGCCAGGAUGUUGGCUUAGAAGCAGCCAUCAUUUAAAGAAAGCGUAAUAGCUCACUGGUCGAGUCGGCCUGCGCGGAAGAUGUAACGGGGCUAAACCAUGCACCGAAGCUGCGGCAGCGACGCUGAUGCGUUGUUGGGUAGGGGAGCGUUCUGUAAGCCUGUGAAGGUGUGCUGUGAGGCAUGCUGGAGGUAUCAGAAGUGCGAAUGCUGACAUAAGUAACGAUAAAGCGGGUGAAAAGCCCGCUCGCCGGAAGACCAAGGGUUCCUGUCCAACGUUAAUCGGGGCAGGGUGAGUCGACCCCUAAGGCGAGGCCGAAAGGCGUAGUCGAUGGGAAACAGGUUAAUAUUCCUGUACUUGGUGUUACUGCGAAGGGGGGACGGAGAAGGCUAUGUUGGCCGGGCGACGGUUGUCCCGGUUUAAGCGUGUAGGCUGGUUUUCCAGGCAAAUCCGGAAAAUCAAGGCUGAGGCGUGAUGACGAGGCACUACGGUGCUGAAGCAACAAAUGCCCUGCUUCCAGGAAAAGCCUCUAAGCAUCAGGUAACAUCAAAUCGUACCCCAAACCGACACAGGUGGUCAGGUAGAGAAUACCAAGGCGCUUGAGAGAACUCGGGUGAAGGAACUAGGCAAAAUGGUGCCGUAACUUCGGGAGAAGGCACGCUGAUAUGUAGGUGAAGCGACUUGCUCGUGGAGCUGAAAUCAGUCGAAGAUACCAGCUGGCUGCAACUGUUUAUUAAAAACACAGCACUGUGCAAACACGAAAGUGGACGUAUACGGUGUGACGCCUGCCCGGUGC